AACGAACGCUGGCGGCAUGCCUAACACAUGCAAGUCGAACGAGACCUUCGGGUUUGGUGGUGCACGGGUGCGUAGCGGGUGGGAUCCUGCCCAUGGGUUUGCAAUAACUCCCCGGAUGGGGUGCUAAUACGGGAGCUUGUAUUGCAUCCGAAGGUUUAUCGCCUUUGGAUGGGCUCGGGUGGGAUUAGCUGGUUGUGAGCGUAAAAGCCUACCAAGGCGACGAUGCAUAGCUGGUCUGAGAGGCUGAGCAGCGACACUGGUAUUGAGACACGGCCCAGACUCCUACGGGAUGGAGCAGUGGGGGAUAUUGGAAAACGGGCGGAAGCCUGAUCCAGCAAUGACGGGUGAGUGAUGAAGGCCUGAGGGUUGUAAAGCUCUUUUACCCGGGAUGAUAAUGACAGUACCGGGAGAAUAAGCUCCGGCUAACUCCGUG
rnacentral:rRNA from 1 species